UGGGGAAUAUUGCACAAUGGGCGCAAGCCUGAUGCAGCAACGCCGCGUGAGGGACGACGGCCUUCGGGUUGUAAACCUCUUUUGGCAGGGAAGAAGCGAAAGUGACGGUACCUGCAGAAAAAGCACCGGCUAACUACGUGCCAGCAGCCGCGGUGAUACGUAGGGUGCAAGCGUUGUCCGGAAUUAUUGGGCGUAAAGAGCUCGUAGGCGGUUUGUCGCGUCUGCUGUGAAAACCCGAGGCUCAACCUCGGGCCUGCAGUGGGUACGGGCAAACUAGAGUGCGGUAGGGNGGAUUGGAAUUCCUGGUGUAGCGGUGGAAUGCGCAGAUAUCAGGAGGAACACCGAUGGCGAAGGCAGAUCUCUGGGCCGUAACUGACGCUGAGGAGCGAAAGCAUGGGGAGCGAACA
rnacentral:rRNA from 1 species